GGGCUUGUGGUCUAGUGGAUUACGACGUCCGCCUCCGAUUCAGCCUCGGCUGAUGAGUGAGCGGAAGGUCCCAGGUUCGAUCCCUGGCUGGCUCG